UAGCUCAGUCGGUAGAGCGCUGGCCUUUUAAGCCAGUGGUCGUGGGUUCGAUCCCCAC
rfam:Phytophthora infestans T30-4 supercont1.24 genomic scaffold, whole genome shotgun sequence.